CAGCGUCUCUUCGGGGCCUGACCAGCAAAUGCCAUGGAAUUUUGUGCUAAGAAACACCCCACAGAGGAGGAACGGCGAGUGAAGGCCAACUCUAGAGAAUACAACGAAAAAUUUCAAUAUGCGAGUAACUGCAUCAAGACGUCAAAAUACAACGUGGUCACUUUCCUACCCAUCAACCUGUUCGAACAGUUCCAGGAAGUCGCAAAUACUUACUUCCUUUUCCUCCUUAUUCUCCAGGUGA